AGCGUACACGGUGGAUGCCCUGGCAGUCAGAGGCGAUGAAGGACGUGCUAAUCUGCGAUAAGCGUCGGUAAGGUGAUAUGAACCGUUAUAACCGGCGAUUUCCGAAUGGGGAAACCCAGUGUGUUUCGACACACUAUCAUUAACUGAAUCCAUAGGUUAAUGAGGCGAACCGGGGGAACUGAAACAUCUAAGUACCCCGAGGAAAAGAAAUCAACCGAGAUUCCCCCAGUAGCGGCGAGCGAACGGGGAGCAGCCCAGAGCCUGAAUCAGUGUGUGUGUUAGUGGAAGCGUCUGGAAAGGCGCGCGAUACAGGGUGACAGCCCCGUACACAAAAAUACACAUAUUGUGAGCUCGAUGAGUAGGGCGGGACACGUGGUAUCCUGUCUGAAUAUGGGGGGACCAUCCUCCAAGGCUAAAUACUCCUGACUGACCGAUAGUGAACCAGUACCGUGAGGGAAAGGCGAAAAGAACCCCGGCGAGGGGAGUGAAAAAGAACCUGAAACCGUGUACGUACAAGCAGUGGGAGCACGCUUAGGCGUGUGACUGCGUACCUUUUGUAUAAUGGGUCAGCGACUUAUAUUCUGUAGCAAGGUUAACCGAAUAGGGGAGCCGAAGGGAAACCGAGUCUUAACUGGGCGUUAAGUUGCAGGGUAUAGACCCGAAACCCGGUGAUCUAGCCAUGGGCAGGUUGAAGGUUGGGUAACACUAACUGGAGGACCGAACCGACUAAUGUUGAAAAAUUAGCGGAUGACUUGUGGCUGGGGGUGAAAGGCCAAUCAAACCGGGAGAUAGCUGGUUCUCCCCGAAAGCUAUUUAGGUAGCGCCUCGUGAACUCAUCUCCGGGGGUAGAGCACUGUUUCGGCAAGGGGGUCAUCCCGACUUACCAACCCGAUGCAAACUGCGAAUACCGGAGAAUGUUAUCACGGGAGACACACGGCGGGUGCUAACGUCCGUCGUGAAGAGGGAAACAACCCAGACCGCCAGCUAAGGUCCCAAAGUCAUGGUUAAGUGGGAAACGAUGUGGGAAGGCCCAGACAGCCAGGAUGUUGGCUUAGAAGCAGCCAUCAUUUAAAGAAAGCGUAAUAGCUCACUGGUCGAGUCGGCCUGCGCGGAAGAUGUAACGGGGCUAAACCAUGCACCGAAGCUGCGGCAGCGACACUAUGUGUUGUUGGGUAGGGGAGCGUUCUGUAAGCCUGCGAAGGUGUACUGUGAGGUAUGCUGGAGGUAUCAGAAGUGCGAAUGCUGACAUAAGUAACGAUAAAGCGGGUGAAAAGCCCGCUCGCCGGAAGACCAAGGGUUCCUGUCCAACGUUAAUCGGGGCAGGGUGAGUCGACCCCUAAGGCGAGGCCGAAAGGCGUAGUCGAUGGGAAACAGGUUAAUAUUCCUGUACUUGGUGUUACUGCGAAGGGGGGACGGAGAAGGCUAUGUUGGCCGGGCGACGGUUGUCCCGGUUUAAGCGUGUAGGCUGGUUUUCCAGGCAAAUCCGGAAAAUCAAGGCUGAGGCGUGAUGACGAGGCACUACGGUGCUGAAGCAACAAAUGCCCUGCUUCCAGGAAAAGCCUCUAAGCAUCAGGUAACAUCAAAUCGUACCCCAAACCGACACAGGUGGUCAGGUAGAGAAUACCAAGGCGCUUGAGAGAACUCGGGUGAAGGAACUAGGCAAAAUGGUGCCGUAACUUCGGGAGAAGGCACGCUGAUAUGUAGGUGAAGCGACUUGCUCGUGGAGCUGAAAUCAGUCGAAGAUACCAGCUGGCUGCAACUGUUUAUUAAAAACACAGCACUGUGCAAACACGAAAGUGGACGUAUACGGUGUGACGCCUGCCCGGUGCCGGAAGGUUAAUUGAUGGGGUCAGCGCAAGCGAAGCUCUUGAUCGAAGCCCCGGUAAACGGCGGCCGUAACUAUAACGGUCCUAAGGUAGCGAAAUUCCUUGUCGGGUAAGUUCCGACCUGCACGAAUGGCGUAAUGAUGGCCAGGCUGUCUCCACCCGAGACUCAGUGAAAUUGAACUCGCUGUGAAGAUGCAGUGUACCCGCGGCAAGACGGAAAGACCCCGUGAACCUUUACUAUAGCUUGACACUGAACAUUGAGCCUUGAUGUGUAGGAUAGGUGGGAGGCUUAGAAGUGUGGACGCCAGUCUGCAUGGAGCCGACCUUGAAAUACCACCCUUUAAUGUUUGAUGUUCUAACGUUGACCCGUAAUCCGGGUUGCGGACAGUGUCUGGUGGGUAGUUUGACUGGGGCGGUCUCCUCCUAAAGAGUAACGGAGGAGCACGAAGGUUGGCUAAUCCUGGUCGGACAUCAGGAGGUUAGUGCAAUGGCAUAAGCCAGCUUGACUGCGAGCGUGACGGCGCGAGCAGGUGCGAAAGCAGGUCAUAGUGAUCCGGUGGUUCUGAAUGGAAGGGCCAUCGCUCAACGGAUAAAAGGUACUCCGGGGAUAACAGGCUGAUACCGCCCAAGAGUUCAUAUCGACGGCGGUGUUUGGCACCUCGAUGUCGGCUCAUCACAUCCUGGGGCUGAAGUAGGUCCCAAGGGUAUGGCUGUUCGCCAUUUAAAGUGGUACGCGAGCUGGGUUUAGAACGUCGUGAGACAGUUCGGUCCCUAUCUGCCGUGGGCGCUGGAGAACUGAGGGGGGCUGCUCCUAGUACGAGAGGACCGGAGUGGACGCAUCACUGGUGUUCGGGUUGUCAUGCCAAUGGCACUGCCCGGUAGCUAAAUGCGGAAGAGAUAAGUGCUGAAAGCAUCUAAGCACGAAACUUGCCCCGAGAUGAGUUCU
rnacentral:rRNA from 1 species